AUAUAUGAGACCUAUUCCCACUAGCUAUGUGUAAAUGAGAUGAGAAGGGAAUUUAUAAAAAAUUUAUUUGUUUUACUCUACACGUGGAUACUAGGUGGAGGACAUGAUUGGAAAAGUUUAAAGAUUUAGCCAUAGAAUUGUGUGAGGACUUAGGUUCGGCUCAACUAAAACCCAUUUUCAUGGAAUAGUAUCAACUCUUUUGACCGAGUAAUAAGGUGGGAUUGAGGGGUUUAGUUAUUUAUUUAAAUACUUGUUAUGUGAAGCACGGUUAGUGCUGGAGUUAGUGGGUAAGAGACCUAGGCCUAUAAAUAGAGAGCUUUUGCUCACUUAUUCAUUUCACUCAAAUAGUCAAAUAGCUAUCCGGUAUAUUCUUCUUCCAUUUUCCUCUACACUGAAGUGAUUUUAUUCUAUCUUUUACAGUCAAACACUUGUUUCUCCAAGAGCCAAAUAGUCCUACACACCAUCAUAAUUACUAGAAGCUUUAAACAUCAACAACCUCUCUUAAACAUCACCAUCAUUCUUCCAUACAUUUAUAUAUUUCCUUCAUCAUAUCGGCAUCACCAUUACCACUAUUUUCACAUUCAAAUUUUAGUGCUCUGCUAGUUUUCUUUGGAAAUUAAGGUUUUUCGUAAGACAAUUAUUUCUCAAGAAUCACUCUCUUUGCAAUCAAGGCUAGGACUCCACAUUCGAGAUUAAGGUUCUAAAACUUAGAGAGCUGGUGGCAAGUGAGACCUUGGAGGCUUGUGUGUGUGUACUCGCUGAGGACCAUAUAACUGAGGGUGGUCUAGGGCACGCUCCAUUUAUUUUAUUUAGUGUUAUUAAAUUAAUGUCGCAGUUAUUUUUAUUUAUUAAUUAUUAUGUCUUUUAAGUCCAAACUGAGCUCAAAUAUGAAAUAUUUUAUGUUUAUAAGUAAAAGCGACAUUAUAGUUUUUCCGCAUUUUAACGCUUGUAACUAAAUUAGUAAUUUAUGAAAAAGUUCGGGCGUUACAGACCAAACCCUAUUUUGGUCAUUGUAGACUGUUUUUCUUCAUUUUUUUUUCCUUCAAAACUUGGCCCUUACGCUCCCACUUUAGCUGCAUGUGAUGCAUAUUAAUUGGAGU